rnacentral:rRNA from 1 species
GAUGAACGCUAGCGGCAGGCUUAAUACAUGCAAGUCGAGGGGCAGCACAGGUAGCAAUACUGGGUGGCGACCGGCAAACGGGUGCGGAACACGUACGCAACCUUCCUUUAAGCGGGGAAUAGCCCAGGGAAACUUGGAUUAAUACCCCAUAAGAUUAUGGUGUGGCAUCACACAGUAAUUAAAGCUACGGCACUUAAAGAUGGGCGUGCGGCUGAUUAGGUAGUUGGCGGGGUAACGGCCCACCAAGCCAACGAUCAGUAACUGGUGUGA